AACCUGAGCCGUAAGCUUUCCUGCUCCUCUGAUGCUGCCUGGCCUAUUGUGUUCCUCCAGCUCCACACUGUUAUCUCUGACUCCAGCAUCAGCAACAUCGUAACAACCAGGUUCCUCCCCUCGAGAUCAAAACCCACUCCCUGACAACUGGACUCAUCCCCUAGCAACCUUACGCCACCCCGUGACAUCAAGACCUGGAACCAGUUUGCUGUCAAUCAAGCCUACUGUGCUUCAGUUUCGGAGAUUUACCCUCCAUCUCCUCACUUCCCCAUCCGCCAUUUGGCAAUCUCCUUGAUGCCCUCUUCAUCUGUUGCUUCUCGUUCUUAUCCUUUUCUUUGCAUUCUCGACCGUGAAACCGAUGCUCAAUCAGUCAAAGUUACUCUCUCAUGGCAUCUUUACCACAAGUCCUUUAUACAUCCUACUGUUACCCACAUCCACCUGCCUAAACUGAUAGGUAACAAGUUGAUGAACUGAGUUGAGUGCUGUCUCAGUUUUGGACAAAGUGACGACAUUUGAAGAUAUCCCAGCUGAUUUAAAAGCAACCAAUAUGGAAAUAGUAGACAAAGAGCAGACAGUGAGCAAUGCCAGAACACUCUGAUGUCAGCUUGUCUCCCGAGGAACGUGUACGGGCUCUCACCAAGAAGGGCAGCUCAGUGGACGUAAACGAUGAUGUCCCUCCACGAAGAUACUUCCGUUCCGGAGUCGAAAUCAUUCGCAUGGCUUCAGUUUACGUAGAUGAAGGCAACUUGGAAAGUGCAUUUGUUCUCUACAACAAGUAUAUCACGCUAUUCUUGGAAAAGCUACCAAAGCAUCGGGAUUAUAAAACCAGCGUAAUACCGGAGAAGAGAGAAACCAUCAAAAAGCUGAAAGAGAUUGCAUUUCCAAGAGCUGAGCAGCUGAAGAGCGAGCUUCUCCAGAGGUACGCUGUCGAAUAUGCUGAGCAUCAGGAGCUACAGCGUAGGGAGGCUGAGAAGUUUGCCCAGGAGCUGGCCCGGCAGCAGGAGUUGGAAGACGAAAAGCAGCGGGUGGCACGGAUGCGCCAGCAGCAAGCGGAACAGGAACAGUUCCAUGCCUUCGAGGAGAUGAUCAGACGCAAGGAGCUGGAGAAAGAGAGGCUGAAGGUGCUGGAGGAGUACGCGAAACCUGAAAACUCCCCCCUAUCCAAAGACUUCCCCCUGAUACCAGGUGUUCAGGGACCACCGGAUAAUCUUCCUCCUGCUUCACCCACUGCGGCUCUCCCAAAUGUAGUCCCACCUGUCGUAGAUCGCUCAAAGAAACCUACAACAUUUGGAACCAAUUGGAACAAUUUUUCGGCAGACAGACUACGGAAUGUGGUGGUACCCAAGAGCCUAUGUCAGCAAUUUCUCCAACUUGCUGAGGCCAACACUGCCCGAGGAGUGGAGACCUGUGGCAUUCUCUGCGGCAAACUGAUGCAGAAUGAGUUCACUAUAACCCAUGUGCUGGUGCCUAAACAGACUGCAGGUCCUGAUUACUGUAACACGGAGAAUGAAGAGGAACUCUUCCUGAUUCAGGACCGAGAUGACCUCAUAACCUUGGGCUGGAUCCAUACUCAUCCCACCCAGACUGCAUUCCUGUCCAGUGUGGACCUUCAUACCCACAGCUCCUAUCAGAUCAUGCUUCCAGAGGCCAUAGCUAUUGUUUGUUCACCCAAAUAUCAUGAGACUGGCUUUUUCAGACUGACUGACCACGGCAUGGAUGAAAUCUCUUUCUGUAAGCAGAAAGGCUUUCAUCCACAUCCCAAGGAUCCACCCCUGUUUAAUUGUCAGCUCACUGCAGUCGUCAAUACUCAGGAGAACACUCUGGAAAAACUCUCUGUCAAGUAGCUUCCUGUUGGAAAGAUGACUGUUGAUUUUUGACUGCUAUCUGCCAGUUUUCUCAUAAGUUGCAUUGCAUGUUCACAUGUUUCUGUAAUAGAGACAAAUGUUACAGUGCUGGACCUUCGGUGAUCGAUGCCUUGUCUCCUGACCAUCCUUGGUUUCCAUAGAAACCACUAACCA